rnacentral:lncRNA from 1 species
GCAGUACUGAUGCUUUUGACCCAGGGAGCCCACUGUGAGAAUCACUGACCUAAAGAAACCUUCACAGUAAGUAUCUGCAAUGAUUCUAAACAAUGAAAACCAGUAAAUUAGACCGAAUUAGAAUUUGUUUGUAUUUGCUUUUGUAAAGAGUCUGAAGAAAUAUUUUUUAAGAUGGUGUACAUUCCUGGGACUGUAUGCCGUAUCUCCAUCUAGACACCAAAGGUUUUCUGGGGUACUGCUCAAAUGAGAAUACCGGGAGAUACAAACGUUUUCCGUUUGCAUUUUAAUUACUUGAAAAUUAAUGCUCACAAAUGUGUUCCCAAGUACAAUGAUCGUUUCCUCUAUUAUUCAAUGCUUAUCCAAACAUUCCACUGAAGUGAACUGAACCGUUAGUUGCUCAGUUGUGUCCAACUGUCUGCAACCCCAUGUGGACUGUAGCCCACAAGGCUCCUCUGUCCAUGAGAUUUCCCAGGCAAGGAGUGGAUUGCCACUUCCUUCUCCAGAGAAUCUUCCCCAUGAGGGAAGCCAAUGCUUAUUAAAACACUCCACUAAAUAAAUACAAAAUGUUUUAGGAUGUAAGCACUGUAAGGUUGAAAGGAAUGUUUUCUCACAACUUUGGAGAAAGCAAACGGAUAAGAUACCUAAAACUGUCUCACUGAGCUAUCAGUGAUGCUCACUGAGUACCGAAGGGGAAGUAAAAAGCCACAUUUGCAUCCUCCCUUUAUUGGAUCAGUUACUGUUCAGUAGAAACAAAUCACCUGACCUGGGCGGUCUUAGAUUCUGAACUUGCUUUCCCUUAGACCUUUUCAUAAACAAAUAACUAGAAAUUUCUCUAAGAAGGGGAGAGGCCAGUUCCUCCUUUCAGCUCCUGUCAAGUGUGCCUGUGCUCAGCCAGGAGGGUUCAUUGUUACAGGCGUGGAACCUGUUCUUCCGAAACCUCGCCUGGGAGCUUGCUCUGAGGUCUGCAGGCUCCCCUGUCAGGACCCACCUGGACAAUGUCACCUUCAGAGGCAGACCAUCCCACAGGAUUACUGGACUUCUAUGCCUGAAACAGAUUAGAAGAAACCAAGGAAUGAAAGAACCUGCCAUAGGCAAGUACAAAACUAGAAUUAAUGACUAAAAAUUCGGGAGUACAUCAGUGUGGGGCCAUUUCAUAUGGGGUAAACAAUCGUAUGCUACAAAAACCUGCAGCAAUUACUGUAGUCUCCAUAGAACUACAGUAACUAGUCAUAACAGUGCAUGUUAGCUAAUCUCAUGAGUGACAAUCAACAUAGGACAGGUCUUCAAGAAUUUACGAGUGCCC